GAUAGGAUGGCAGAGCGGUCUUAGGUGAUGCGCUGCGUUCAGGUCGCAGUCGGGUCUUUCACGCGUGGGUUCAAUCCCACUUCUGACA